rnacentral:rRNA from 1 species
CAGGAUGUUGGCUUAGAAGCAGCCAUCAUUUAAAGAAAGCGUAAUAGCUCACUGGUCGAGUCGGCCUGCGCGGAAGAUGUAACGGGGCUAAACCAUGCACCGAAGCUGCGGCAGCGACACUUAUGUGUUGUUGGGUAGGGGAGCGUUCUGUAAGCCGUCGAAGGUGUGCUGUGAGGCAUGCUGGAGGUAUCAGAAGUGCGAAUGCUGACAUAAGUAACGAUAAAGCGGGUGAAAAGCCCGCUCGCCGGAAGACCAAGGGUUCCUGUUCAACGUUAAUCGGAGCAGGGUGAGUCGACCCCUAAGGCGAGGCCGAAAGGCGUAGUCGAUGGGAAACAGGUUAAUAUUCCUGUACUCGGUGUUACUGCGAAGGGGGGACGGAGAAGGCUAUAUCAGCCGGGCGACGGUUGUCCCGGUUUAAGCGUGUAGGCGGAGGGUCCAGGUAAAUCCGGACUCUUGUUAACGCUGAGGCGUGAUGACGAGGCACUACGGUGCUGAAGUGAUAAAUGCCCUGCUUCCAGGAAAAGCCUCUAAGCAUCAGGUAACACAGAAUCGUACCCCAAACCGACACAGGUGGUCAGGUAGAGAAUACCAAGGCG